AGAAUGAACGCUGGCGGCAUGCCUAACACAUGCAAGUCGAACGAGACCUUCGGGUCUAGUGGCGCACGGGUGCGUAACGCGUGGGAAUCUGCCCUUGGGUUCGGAAUAACAGUUAGAAAUGACUGCUAAUACCGAAUGAUGUCGUAAGACCAAAGAUUUAUCGCCCAGGGAUGAGCCCGCGUAGGAUUAGCUAGUUGGUGUGGUAAAGGCGCACCAAGGCGACGAUCCUUAGCUGGUCUGAGAGGAUGAUCAGCCACACUGGGACUGAGACACGGCCCAGACUCCUACGGGAGGCAGCAGUGGGGAAUAUUGGACAAUGGGCGAAAGCCUGAUCCAGCAAUGCCGCGUGAGUGAUGAAGGCCUUAAAGGGUUGUAAAGCUCUUUACCGGGAUGAUAAUGACAGUACCGGGAGAAUAGCUCCGGCUAACUCCGUGCCAGCAGCCGC
rnacentral:rRNA from 1 species